rnacentral:rRNA from 1 species
UACGUAGGUGGCAAGCGUUGUCCGGAUUUAUUGGGUUUAAAGGGUGCGUAGGCGGCCCCAUAAGUCAGUGGUGAAAUACGGCAGCUCAACUGUCGAGGUGCCAUUGAUACUGUGGGGCUUGAGUACAGACGAGGUAGGCGGAAUUGACGGUGUAGCGGUGAAAUGCUUAGAUAUCGUCAAGCACACCGAUAGCGAAGGCAGCUUACUCGGCUAUAACUGACGCUGAGGCACGAAAGUGUGGGGAUCAAACAGG